rnacentral:rRNA from 1 species
AUUGAACGCUGGCGGCAGGCCUAACACAUGCAAGUCGAGCGAGCGGCGGACGGGUGAGUAAUGUCUGGGAAACUGCCUGAUGGAGGGGGAUAACUACUGGAAACGGUAGCUAAUACCGCAUACCAUCAGAUGUGCCCAGAUGGGAUUAGCUAGUAGGUUGGGUAAUGGCUCACCUAGGCGACGAACCCUAGCUGGUCUGAGAGGAUGACCAGCCCAACUGGACCUGAGAAACGGCCGAGACUCCUACGGGAGUCAGCAUUGGGGAAUAUUGCACCAGGGGCGCAAGCCUGAUGCGGCCAUGCCGCGUGUGUGAAGAAGGCCUUCGGGUUGUAAAGCACUUUCAGCGGGGAGGCGUUACCCGCAGAAGAAGCACCGGCUAACUCCGUGCCAGCAGCCGCGGUAAUAC